rnacentral:rRNA from 1 species
GAGGAAUGCAUGGGUAACCUGUCCUUGAGAAGGGAAUAACCACCGAAAGGUGAGCUAAUACCCUAUACGUUUCACUUUUUUGGAAAGUGAAAGAAAGCUAGGCCGAGGGCCUGGCGCUCGUGGAGGGGCUCAUGUCCUAUCAGCUUGUUGGUGGGGUAACGGCCUACCAAGGCAACGACGGGUAGCUGGUCUGAGAGGAUGAUCAGCCACACUGGCACUGAGAUACGGGCCAG